ACAUGCAAGUCGAGGGGCAGCACAGGCCUUAAUACCGGGUGGCGACCGGCGCACGGGUGAGUAACGCGUAUGCAACUUACCUAUCAGAGGGGGAUAACCCGGCGAAAGUCGGACUAAUACCGCAUGAAGCAGGGGCCCCGCAUGGGGAUAUUUGCUAAAGAUUCAUCGCUGAUAGAUAGGCAUGCGUUCCAUUAGGCAGUUGGCGGGGUAACGGCCCACCAAACCGACGAUGGAUAGGGGUUCUGAGAGGAAGGUCCCCCACAUUGGUACUGAGACACGGACCAAACUCCUACGGGAGGCAGCAGUGAGGAAUAUUGGUCAAUGGCCGAGAGGCUGAACCAGCCAAGUCGCGUGAGGGAUGAAGGUUCUAUGGAUCGUAAACCUCUUUUAUAAGGGAAUAAAGUGCGGGACGUGUCCCGUUUUGUAUGUACCUUAUGAAUAAGGAUCGGCUAACUCCGUGCCAGCAGCCGCGGUAAUACGGAGGAUCCGAGCGUUAUCCGGAUUUAUUGGGUUUAAAGGGUGCGUAGGCGGCCUUUUAAGUCAGCGGUGAAAGUCUGUGGCUCAACCAUAGAAUUGCCGUUGAAACUGGGGGGCUUGAGUAUGUUUGAGGCAGGCGGAAUGCGUGGUGUAGCGGUGAAAUGCAUAGAUAUCACGCAGAACCCCGAUUGCGAAGGCAGCCUGCCAAGCCAUUACUGACGCUGAUGCACGAAAGCGUGGGGAUCAAACAGGAUUAGAUACCCUGGUAGUCCACGCAGUAAACGAUGAUCACUAGCUGUUUGCGAUACACUGUAAGCGGCACAGCGAAAGCGUUAAGUGAUCCACCUGGGGAGUACGCCGGCAACGGUGAAACUCAAAGGAAUUGACGGGGGCCCGCACAAGCGGAGGAACAUGUGGUUUAAUUCGAUGAUACGCGAGGAACCUUACCCGGGUUUGAACGCAUUCGGACCGAGGUGGAAACACCUUUUCUAGCAAUAGCCGUUUGCGAGGUGCUGCAUGGUUGUCGUCAGCUCGUGCCGUGAGGUGUCGGCUUAAGUGCCAUAACGAGCGCAACCCUUGCCACUAGUUACUAACAGGUAAAGCUGAGGACUCUGGUGGGACUGCCAGCGUAAGCUGCGAGGAAGGCGGGGAUGACGUCAAAUCAGCACGGCCCUUACAUCCGGGGCGACACACGUGUUACAAUGGCGUGGACAAAGGGAAGCCACCUGGCGACAGGGAGCGAAUCCCCAAACCACGUCUCAGUUCGGAUCGGAGUCUGCAACCCGACUCCGUGAAGCUGGAUUCGCUAGUAAUCGCGCAUCAGCCAUGGCGCGGUGAAUACGUUCCCGGGCCUUGUACACACCGCUCGUCAAGCCAUGGGAGCCGGGGGUACCUGAAGUCCGUAACCGCGAGGAUCGGCCUAGGGUAAAACUGGUGACUGGGGCUAA
rnacentral:rRNA from 1 species